rnacentral:siRNA from 1 species
GCCUUCGAUUCUUCUUCUUAGG